GCCUGCGCCCCUGAAGGGAUGGAAAAGGCCAUUUUAAUUGAGACCCCCAAAAAGAGAGUUCAAGGUAGCUCAGAAGCUUUAUGAUUAGCUGCAGUUGGGGAAAGUGGGUUGGUCUUUUGGUAUGGCUGAUUACACCACUCUGACAAUUUAGAAAUGUUAAAUGCUUUAUGAUAGGGCCUCAACUACUUCUAGUAGUCUUGGCUAGAAAAUCAGAACCAUUUUAAUUUGAAUCAUUCAUGUUAGCUAUCCCUUUGGGAAGAGGCUCAGCUUAAGCUGGUGUUUUGACUACAGGUAAACAAGAUGGGGAUCCAGGCUUAAAGCGGUUUGGAAGCAGAUGCCCCUGGGGCUAGGAGUGAUCACAUUAUUUAACUAUACCUUUGGCUUGGCCUAUGACAAACUGGAAAUCAUUCUCUCUGAGGCUCCAGGAGUCUACUUAUAACCAAGAGCCAUAGCUAUUUCUUUCCUAUAGACAGGAAGAUAUGCAAAUAGGGCCCCUCCCUCUCGUGAAGAAAAGUAGACAGCUUAGCCCCUCUGUACUAUUCUUCUCAUUCUGUCCCCAGGACUGAACCAGAGUCCUCAUCAUGGACUUUAGGCUAAACUGGUUUUUCUUUCUAAUAACUUUACAAGGUGUUGACAGUGAGGUUCAGCUGGUGGAGACUGGGGGAGAUGUGAGGCAGCCUGGGGGCUCUCUUCGACUCACUUGUACAACUUCUGGAUUUACCUUUUCCAACUACUACAUGCAUUGGAUACGACAGGCUCCAGGCAAGGGGCUGGAGUGGGUUGCUGUAAUAAGAAACCCUGCUAAUGGUCUUACUGCAGAAUAUGCUGAGGCUGUGAAAGGCCGAUUCACCAUUUCCAGAGAUGAUGCCAGUAAGAUGGUAUACUUGCAAAUGAACAGCUUGAAAACUGAGGACACAGCAAUAUAUUAUUGUGCAAAAGACACAAUGAGAGGAAGAGAAUGUUAACCCAUACACAAACUUCUUAAAGAACAUGUCCUAGGAGAAAUGUAGGGCCAGGAAAUCAUUUUGAUGACAGAUGGAGAGCAAGGAUAAGAACAUAUUCCUUUUCUGGGUCUGAGGUUUCCUUUUCUUAAGAGCAAACAAUCCCUCGGGGCCAUUUAUCAUCUCCUUGCUUCAAUGACUUGUUUCUUUGAGUCUUAGAAAUACAUUUUUCACAUAGAGGUAAUAUUUUUACUCAGAUUCACAGUCAGUUCUCAUAAGGAGGUCAAUGCCAAUAUCUCCUUUGGUCAUUGGGUUGAAUAACUAGGCUUGCGUGGUCUAGCUAUGUACUUUUGACUUAGUUUGGACAUCCUUUGAUUUUAUCUAUUUUAUGUGGGACCUGGGAUCGAAGUUAAGCUGUGGUCAUUUAGUAACUGUUGUAGUACUCUAUAGUAAUUGAGAAAAACCCAUUGGCUUUCAAAAUUAUUUUUUAUUUUGUUAAAUAUUUCUCAAUUAUUUCAAUUUUUGGUAAUAAUCACUUAAAAUUUUUGAGUUCCAAAUUCUUUCCUCUCCUUCCCCUCACUACUCCUUAAGAAGACAAACAAUUUGAUUUCAGUUAUACAUGUCAGGUGAAGCAAAAUGUAUUUCCAUAUUAAGCAUGUUGCAAAAGAAAACACAAAAUAAAACAAAAAUAAUUUUC